rnacentral:lncRNA from 1 species
CCAAAUCUGAUUUGAUUUUGAAAAAAAAAAAUUUUCAAAUUAGAUUUCAAAAUAUUCCUUAUCAAGAGAAUCUGUUCUUAUCCAAAUCAACCUCUCCAUACCAACUUAUUUUUUUCUCCUUAUAUGUGUGACAUUUUGAGGAGAUUUUUCAUAAAAAAUUGGCUGGAGAAUACUUUACCAUGAAAAAAUAUGGGAAGGGGC